UACAGAGGGGCCAGCGUUAUUCGGAAUUAUUGGGCGUAAAGGGCGCGUAGGCGGCCAUGCGUGUCUUCCGUGAAAUCCCUCGGCUCAACCGAGGACGUGCGGAAGAAACUGCAAGGGCUCGAGUCCGGAAGAGGGGGGCGGAAUUCCCAGUGUAGCGGUGAAAUGCGUAGAUAUUGGGAGGAACACCAGUGGCGAAGGCGGUCCCCUGGGCCGGAACUGACGCUGAGGCGCGAAAGCUAGGGGAGCAAACGGGG
rnacentral:rRNA from 1 species